rnacentral:rRNA from 1 species
UGGCGAACGGGUGAGUAACGCGUGAGGAACCUGCCUCAAAGAGGGGGACAACAGUUGGAAACGACUGCUAAUACCGCAUAAGCCCACGGGUCGGCAUCGACCUGAGGGAAAAGGAGCAAUCCGCUUUGAGGUGGCCUCGCGUCCGAUUAGCUAGUUGGUGAGGUAACGGCCCACCAAGGCGACGAUCGGUAGCCGGACUGAGAGGUUGAACGGCCACAUUGGGACUGAGACACGGCCCAG